GACCUCGGUAGCUUAGCGGUCAAAAGCAGUGGGCCGUAAACCCAAAGAACCUGGGUUUGAAUCCCAGUCGAGUUCA